rnacentral:rRNA from 1 species
GAUUAACGCUAGCGGCAGGCCUAAUACAUGCAAGUUGUACGGGAUUAUUGGUAGCAAUACUGAUAUGAGAGUAGCGCACGGGUGCGUAACACGUAUGCAACCUACCUUUAACUGGGGAAUAGCUCACCGAAAGGUGAAUUAACACCGCAUAAAAUCACAGAAGGACAUCCUUUAAUGAUUAAAUCUCCGGAGGUUAAAGAUGGGCAUGCGUCCGAUUAGCUAGUUGGCGGGGAAUAGCCCACCAAGGCAACGAUCGGUAGGGGGUCUGAGAGGAUGA